rnacentral:rRNA from 1 species
GAUGAACGCUAGCGGCAGGCCUAAUACAUGCAAGUCGAACGCUCAGUAGCAACACUGGGAGUGGCGCACGGGUGCGUAACGCGUACACAAUCUACCUCUAAGCGGGGACACCUCCUGGAAACGGGGAUUAAUACCCGCAUAAUAUGCCGAGGUCGCAUGACUUUGGUAUUAAAGCAGCAAUGCACUUAGAGAUGAGUGUGCGUCCCAUUAGGUAGUUGGUGAGGUAACGGCUCACCAAGCCUAUGAUGGGUAGCCGGUCUGAGAGGAUGGUCGGCCACACGGGCACUGAGACACGGGCCCGACUCCUACGGGAGGCAGCAGUAAGGAUAUUGGUCAAUGGUGGAAACACUGAACCAGCCAUGCCGCGUGGAGGAAU